GAGGAUUGUGGCUCUGGGCUGGGUGACUAGAGGGGAGGGGAGGAGCGGGGAGGGGAGCACUGCCGCUGGUCCGGCGGGUUUUGGGGGGGGGUGCUGCGGGGACCCGGGACCUACAAGUGUGGGGUGGCACUCUUGGAAACCUCCAAAAACAGCUUCAGGAGUCAAAACCCAGUGGUGCCUCCAGCUGGAAAAUGUAUGCCCAAUGGAAGACUCCUGUAGCCUCUCACACACUGUGAGCCUAAGACGGGUACCUAAUUCUUAGAGUCGAAUGGCAUGGCAGCCCUUUUUCUCCAUGAAAGAAAACACCCUGGGAGAUGGUAGGUUUCCUCUUGGGUUGCUCUCAAAUUAAUGACCUUGCCCUUUUCCAGCACUUUCCCCACUGAAAGGAUGCAAAAAUGCAGCACUAUUUAACAGAUUCAGGGAGGGAGUUCCCUGGUGGUCUAGUG
rnacentral:lncRNA from 1 species